rnacentral:pre_miRNA from 7 species
AGAGCUGUUGUGUCACUUCCUCAGGCAGACAUAUUUACUAGAGGGUGAUCCACAACCUUCCAGUAAGAGAGGCAGCAGAAGGGAGGGGCUCAC